GCUUGUAUAGCAUAUCAAUAAAAUUGGAGUGUCUUCAUUACCUACUGCAGUGUAUCUUCUUCUUUGUGUAUUUGUCUUACGAUACUGGUUUGUGGGACCAGGGCCACUAUUCUUGCAUGCCAAUAUACAGGAGCAUUGAUAGGGGGUGCUUGUCCUUUAUAGCCCUGGAUCUUUUUGUCUCUACUUGACCAUUUUCAAUCUCUUCAGUGAGUAUAGG